AUUAAUAUAUAUAUAUAUAUAUAUUAAUAUAUAAUAUUUAUGAAUAUAUAAAUAUAUAAAUAUAUAUGACCUAGUGCUGGUGCCAUCCGCAGCAUGCAUGCGGCAAUAUGUAUUGAAAGGUUGGAUUUAAUUCAACCUUGUACCUUUUGGUUGAAUUACAACUUUUGGUUAAAAGAUAUGAUGUUUACUCAAAUUGUAUGAGUAGAAUUAAAGGAUAUAAUUAGUCAAUAUUUAUUUUCUGAAAAUUCUAAAUAAAACAUAUGUCUUUUGGGUCAACACUAUUAAGAAGAGUUGUGUGUCUUCAACUAAAAUGAAAUGGCUCGAUGAACGGGUACUUUGAUGUCUAUAAAUACAUGUUGUGGUAUAAUGUUUCAUACACAAUUCAUUCAGAAAUUUGUUGUCUACAUAAUUUCUUUGCUCUCUUUUCUCUACGCAUCACAUUCAUACAAUUUCUUUCUAGUUAUUUCUAAGGGAAUAUAAUUCGGUUUUGCUAAUCGAAUAUUCCAUACUUUGUUGUAUCCUGGAAGUGAUUUGCCAAGAACCCUUUAGCAAACUCAUUCGAGUGGGGGCAAAUAACACUUUAAGGAAACGAUUCAAAUCGUACCUCAAAGUCAUUAUUCGGAUUAUUCUCCAUAAAUCUACAUUUAAUCUAACAAUCUUAAAGUGUUAUUUUCGUUAUGGAUAACAAAUCUGAUAACAUGGCUUUGAAGAUUAUCAAUCAAGAUGUCUACAAGUUAGACAAAUUUGAUGGAUCAAAUUUCACCCGAUGGAAGGACAAGAUGCGUUUCAUGCUUACUGUUCUAAAUGUCAUAUAUGUGUUGGACCCGAAAUUGGAGCUUAUUUGUGAACCAAGUGACAAAGACUCAGACAAUAUAGUUGCCGAUCGAAAGAAGCGUGAAGAAGAUGAAUUGGUAUGUCGAGGACACAUCUUGGGCACAUUAUCUGAUCGUUAUAUGACCUGUAUGCACACAUUCAAUCUCCAAAGGAAAUUUGGGAAGCACUUGAACACAAGUACACAACGGAAAAAAAGAGGUACAGAUAAAUUUUUAAUGUUCAAAUAUUAUGAAUUCACUAUGUUUGAUAACAAACUCAUCCUAGACCAGGUUCAUGAAUUAGUGGUCUUGGUCUCAAAGCUUCGUGAACUUAAAAUAGUUAUUCCGGAUCCUAUGAUAGUUGGAGUUAUUAUGGCAAAAUUACCCCAAACAUGGAAUAACUAUAGAAAGAAACUUCUACACAUGGUGGAAGAUAUUAGUUUGGAGAAUUUGCAAAAGAGUAUUCAAAUUGAAGAGGAAACUCGAAAUCGUGAUAAGAAUUUUGCCAAUCAAGAUUUCUCUAAAGUUCACAUUGUCGAAGGAAACACAUAUAAAAAGAACUUCAAAGUCAAAAUUGACAAAGGGAAGUUUAAGAAGACCAAUUCCAACAACAAUCAAAAGAAUGAAAAUGGUGUAUGUUACCAUUGUGGAAAGUAAGGUCAUUACAUUCGUGAUUGUAGACACAGAAAAGCAAGUGAGGAAUAUGCCAAUAAGACCAAUAGCGCAAAUAUGGUGGAUUUUUACAAUUGCCGGAGGAGCAAUUUCUUGGGCUUCGAAGAAGCAAACAUGUAUAGCACAUUCAACUAUGGAAUCUGAAUUUAUAGCAUUAGCAGCAGGUAAAGAAGCGGAAUGGAUUAGAAAUUUGUUAUUGGAAAUAGAGUUGUGGCCACAACCAAUGCCAUCCAUUUCUUUAUACUAUGAUAGUGAGGCUACUUUGUCUAGAGCAUACAAUAAGGUAUACAAUGGAAAAUCUAGACAUAUUAGCUUGAGACAUGAAUAUGUCAAGCAAUUAAUAACUGAUGGAGUUAUUAAUAUUGUUUAUGUUAAAUCAAGUAAUAACUUGGCGGAUCCGUUAACGAAAGCACUUUCAAGAGCUUUGGUAGUUAGUACAUCUAGUGGAAUGGGGCUAAAACCCUUUACUGAAAAUUAGCCACCAAUAAUGGUAACCCGACUUUAUCUAGAACAUCACUAGUUUAAAAGUUUAAUGGGUAAUAACAAGUUAUUGUUAAGUGGUUGUGCAAGCACUGAAAAUUAUUAUAUAGCUCAUUCCAGGAUGAUCAGUGCAAGACUGCUACGUUUAGGAGGAUGAGUUUUAACUCUUAAUGAGGUUAUUUGUAGUUAUGUCUAUAGUAGCAGGGACAUGGGAAGGAACCUCACCUAUAUAAACAUAAGAAGUGGUGCCGCUUCUGCCAAGAGUUGGGUUUUCUCUUGUAAAUGUUCAUGAAACCAGGAUGAAGCACAAGGCCAUAAUAGUGCUUAAUUAGUUCAGAAAUUUCUUUAAGGAAAUAAGACAUAAUCAUGUGUGUAGUAAUUCCGGUUUUAACAUAAGAAUAGGUGGUUUAAACUUAGGUCACCAUCGCAUUCGUUAUAACUUUGAAUCACUUACACUAAUUAAAGGUUUAAUUCGAAAGACACCUUUAUUGUAUGCAUGAUUAUAUCGGUAUGCUUUUGAUAAUUAUAAAGAGAGAAUUAUUGUAAUAUCAUUUACCAUAUUAUUGAAAUUGGGAAGGAUUGUUAGAGAUUUCAAUAAUAAUAAUAAUAAUUAUUAUUAUUAAUAUAUAUAUAUAUAUAUAUAUUAAUAUAUAAUAUUUAUGAAUAUAUAAAUAUAUAAAUAUAUAUGACCUAGUGCUGGUGCCAUCCGCAGCAUGCAUGCGGCAAUAUGUAUUGAAAGGUUGGAUUUAAUUCAACCUUGUACCUUUUGGUUGAAUUACAACUUUUGGUUAAAAGAUAUGAUGUUUACUCAAAUUGUAUGAGUAGAAUUAAAGGAUAUAAUUAGUCAAUAUUUAUUUUCUGAAAAUUCUAAAUAAAACAUAUGUCUUUUGGGUCAACACUAUUAAGAAGAGUUGUGUGUCUUCAACUAAAAUGAAAUGGCUCGAUGAACGGGUACUUUGAUGUCUAUAAAUACAUGUUGUGGUAUAAUGUUUCAUACACAAUUCAUUCAGAAAUUUGUUGUCUACAUAAUUUCUUUGCUCUCUUUUCUCUACGCAUCACAUUCAUACAAUUUCUUUCUAGUUAUUUCUAAGGGAAUAUAAUUCGGUUUUGCUAAUCGAAUAUUCCAUACUUUGUUGUAUCCUGGAAGUGAUUUUCCAAGAACCCUUUAGCAAACUCAUUCGAGUGGGGGCAAAUAACACUUUAAGAAAACGAUUCAAAUCGUACCUCAAAGUCAUUAUUCGGAUUAUUCUCCAUAAAUCUACAUUUAAUCUAACAUUAGAUAUAUCCCAGGAAUAUUUAGUGCAAUUUUCACAUUAUGGGAGUUGUAACUUAUUGGUAUGGAUAUGUUCAUAUAAUGAAUAAAAUUGCAAGAAUAAGGACAUGUAUGAUCUUAAGUGGAUAAUUAUAAUUUUUUUUUUCAUAUAACGAUAUAUUAUACCAAGAAUUAGGGAAUAAAUUAGUUUUAAACUCGACAUUCACGAGAUUCAAACAUAAAAUCUUUCAAUUGCAAAUAAAGAUGAUACCAGACCCUUAUAUUAAUUCGAUAUUAUUUAUUAUAACUAAAAUAUAAAACCCAUAAAAAUAAUAAUGAAAUUUUUUUAGUAGCCCAACUAUAUGUAUUGUCCUAAUUUUCUAAUACUAAUUAUUGUGCAACACAUAACAUGACACAAAUUGGUAAAAAAAGUCAUGAGUAGGUGCAAAACAAGAAAAUGUGAGCAGACAAAAAUAAAAAAUUUCAAAAAUCAUUUCAUUUAUGAACAUAUUUAACCUGAUCCGUUUUGAAAAUCAUAUACGGGAAAACGUACCACAUAUAUGUAGUACCAAUAAAUUCAAGCAUGCCGAGUUAAGUAAAGAAUCCAACGCAUCACAUCGUAAUAAACAUCUGUGGCAUUGCAUGACAUAGGCACUGGCGUCAACCAGCUCAAACAUGAAAUGUAAGCACUGUCCACCAGCACAUAUGAAAUGCAGACACUGUCCUAGUGUGGGACGUUUUGGUGGACAAGAUUACUACUGAGAUCGCGCAUGCAACACGCCUAGAAUGCUAGAGUGAGAGGUUUUGGUCGACAAGACUACUACUGAUGAGAUCUUUGUUUGGAGGCUUCUUGGUUGGUUUCCAGUAUGUGCGAAUAUGAAGCUUUCAAUAAUGAUAGUGAUCGGUUCGGUGCUUUGCAAUUUGCAAGGUGGACUAGACGAGAAAAUAUGAGCCAUAGCUAGGCACGUUUCUGCCAAAUUGUCUUAUUGCUUGUUGCGAAUCUGGAACCUUCUCUUGUUCUGUAGAAUUUAUGGUUGUAGUUUCUUUACCGGCGGAAUGUUAGUGAAGGCAGAAUUAUUGGAGAAGGUGAUGGACGAGGAAAAAGAAAGGUGAAAUGUGAGAGAUGAAUUAUUAAAUCAGAAACUAUAAAUAACUUUAACAAGAGCUAAUCCUCAUCUUCUAGAAUGUUAAUGCACCAGCAGAAUCUCCGAAGUACUCGAUCUACUGUUUACAGGCUUACAGCAAGCUUGCCCUAAUUAACCACUGAAGGAGACACGGAAUGGUCGUAUAUAGUGUGGAUAAAGUCGUCUAAUCAAAUUCAAUAGAGAAAUUAUAAGGGACUCUCUCAAAAUGAGAUUAUUUAUAAACUCUUUACCACCUUAUAAUUUAAGGUUAAUUCAUAUCCUAACAUUAUAAAAUAUUGAGCCAAAAAAUGAUAGGUGACAGAGAAUCCAUAAAGAGUUACACUCUUAAGAGAAUCCCCUUAGCAUUUCACAAUUGAAUAUAUACGAGAUUGCAGGCCGCAAGUGCUGUGUAUGGUUCAAAUUUAACGUUAGCUUUUAGUUACCGCUGCACAACUACCUGAUUCUGGUCCCAAUCAAUGUUAAUAGUACUGUCAUAUCUACUAGUCCUUGCCAUAGUAAGCUACCGUGUGGUGAGAAGUCGACCUGCAUGCAUGGACAGACCAGGACCAGCAGCUUAGUUAUAUAAAAUAGACCGGAGUUAGGGAGUAUAGUAGAUUUUUCGCUCUCAAUAUUUAUAUUUUAAUCUCAAAUGCAAUGUUCAAAUUCUUACAUUUGAUUCCGAAAGUGGUGGAUUUUAAGACGUGUGAUAUUCAAAACGAACAUAGAUGAGAAGCCCUAAAGUAUAUUUUGACUGAUGUCUACCCAGCAUUUGUCUUUAUUAUUGGAGAUUGCCUGAAUGAUUGAUUGAAACUAAUGCUUUCACUAGUAAAACGUUGCUCAGAAGGAAUUGAUGGAAAUCAAUUUAAUUUAGAACUCUGUUCCAAAAGGGAAGAUGAUUUGAAAUCCAUUUUAGAAUUCGGUUUGGCUUCUUGGUGGUUGUUUGCUGUUUAACAUUAUAGUUUAGUUGUAUUUUUUUCAAUUUGUAAGUUACAUGUUUUAGGCUUAACUCUUGUGUACGAUGAGUUCAAUGUCAUAUAGAGUAAUCUCAUUUCGCCUCAAAAAAAAAAAAAAAGGGAACUUUAAUGAAAAUGGUUUGGACUAAGUUUAUUUUAACAAAAAACCAUGCUAUAAACUUUAUUUAAUGAAAAACCCUUAAAUUUUAAUAAAAAGGACAAAAAAACUUAAUUUUUAACGAAAAUGUCACAAUUUAAAAACAAAAAAACAAAAAACCUGACGCGCGCGCAGUCUAUUUAUGAAACUGAACACUGCUUAUAAAACUGAACACUAUUUAUGAAACUACACUAUUUAUGAAAUUGAACGGUACUAUACUAUUUAUUGGUUCAAUUUCAUAAAUAGUGUCUAGUUUUUUGUCCACUUUCAUAAAAUGAUGUCUAGUUCUUGAUCAUGUUUCAUAAAUAAUGCCUAGUUAUUAGGUCCAGUUUCAUAAAUAAUGUAUAGUAAUUGGUACAAUUUUAUUAAUAGUGUCUUUUUCUUGGUCUGGUUUAAUAAAUAGUGUCUAGUUAUUGGUCCACUUUCAUAAAUAGUGCCUAGUUCUUGGUCAUAAUUCAUAAAUAUUGUCUAGUUCUUACUCCAGUUUCAUAAAUAGUGUAUAGUCCAGUGUUCAAAUUAUGCCUAAUUCUUGUUUUCGUUUCAUAAAAAAUGUCUACUUAUUGAUCCAAUUUCACAAAAUGAUGUCUACUUAUUGGUCUAAUUUCAUUAAUAAUGUAUACUUAUUGGUGAAGUUUUAUAAAUAGUGUUUAAUUCUUGAUUCAGUUUCAUAAGGUUUGAAACUUAGACCCUUAUUGGUGAAGUUUUAUAAAUAGUGUUUAAUUCUCAGUAAUUAUAUUUAAAAAUCUGUUUUCAAUUACCAAAUUAAAAUUUCCUCAUUUUUUUCAUAUACCUACAAUAAUAAAUGUAGCUCUCCAUCCAAUUUCUUGAGUUUGGGUGUCAUCUUCGAGAAAUUUUUCCUUGUGCCCGUAACACAAAUGAUAUACCACAUGUUAUUAUAUAAGUGAGGUGGAAAAUUUUAUUUUUUUUGUUAUUAAUUUUUUAACACAAGAUUCUCACAACUUGUAUGGAGUGUACCAUCCCGUGUUCUGGGCACAUUGAAAAGUUUCUCAUCAUCAUGACUUGUCACAUCCCGGCCCGAGGCGGACCACUUCCCGGAUCCGCUCCACCACCGUAGCACGAUAUUGUCCACUUUUGGCCCCGACCACGCCCUUACGGUUUUGUUUUUAGGAAUUCACGAGCAACUUCCCAAUGCAGGAGGUGACGUAAAUAAACAGGUAUGUACUUCAUAUCUCUGGCUAAAUCACAAUCACCCUAGGUGCAGUUUUAUGAGCUCAUAUUGGAUCCAACUUAAGUGCACAGUCUUGUCGUACAGACCCAUUUUUAGUGGUUCCGACUUAUGUGCAGUAUAUUGUCGUAUAGAUCAUUGUAGUGACUCCGACUAGAUUGACUUUUGAGCUAUGAAUUCAAACGUAUAGACUACCGCAGGGGUUCUGGCGAACAUAUCAUAUAUCUAUGAAAUCAUUCUUACUUGGAUUGUUUACUUUGUUAUAUUUUGGCAUGGCAUACAUAUGAAUAUGAUUAUCUGAAGCAUGAAUUGAAUUGUUAUGAUUUCAUAUAUAUAUAUAUAUAUAUGUAUGUAUGUAUGUAUGUAUGUAUGCAAAUGCUUAUAUCUUGAUUAUGGGAAAAAAUUAUACAUGUUUUACAACGAGGGGUUAGUAUAUUGAUAAAUGAAAUGGUUUUGUAAAACAUUUGUUUUUGCCCACUCACGUUUUCUGUUUUGCGCCCCUCUAGGUUUUAAGUAAGCUUGCUGUUGGUGGCUUGAGGACGUCGGCAGUUCUGACUUAUCUAUAUCAUAGUAGGACAUUUUUGGUACUGUAUAAGUAGUACUUGUCCUCCUGGACUGCACCUAGACUUUAUGCUCUGAUUAGGAGUGUUUACUGUUGUAACUAACUCUUAUCACUUUCUCUUUAGUAGUGCACUCUAGUAAAUUGGUUUUCAAUUAUUCGUAUAAUUUUUAUCAUUAUCGCUUCCACAUUGUGCACAUGGCUACGUCACUCUCAUGUGACGGUCAGCAUGCCUUGAUGUCGGUCGGGGUGUGUCAUGACCAGUGGCCGAUCCACAUUGGGGUCAAUAGGGUCGCACGACCCCUUGGAAGCCAUGGAAACAACCUUAGAGACCCCUUGGAGCUGCUGGUGUGACCUCUUGGCUGCACACCAAGUGUUCGACGAAAGGUCUGAAAAAACUCAUUGGCUGGGCUGGUUGAAGACGAAGGCGCGCGCGCCUGUUUUUUUUUUUUAAACAACCUGGGCAAAACGACGUCGUUUUGGCCCAGGAAAUUUUUUUAAAUGACCUGGCCAAAAUGAUGUCGUUUUGGGCCAAGUCUGAACAAAAAAAAAUGCCCAGCGUGUCCUGGGCAGGUCUGAACAAAAAAAAAAAGCCCAGCGUGUCCUUUUCAGCCCUAUUUCACAUAGAUCCGAAGCCAUUCAUUCCAAACCCCCAAAUUUCUUUUGCUUUCUCCUCCUCCAACCCUAAGUUCCAAACUCAAUCCCCCACAAACCCUCAACUCCAUCUCCUCCCUUGCUGCCGCCAUUAAGGUGCCUUUGUGCUGCCGUCGUCGUCACUGUGGUGGUGGUGCCACCAGCUUUGCUCUUUGUAUUUGCUCAUUGUUAUUGUGAAAUUUCACAAUUCAAGUAAGUUCAAAACCCUAUGUAUGAUAUAUUUAAUUUAAUUGAAACCUAAUUCAUAUUUAUUUUGAUUAUAUUGAUGGUUUGUUUAUAUUGUGAGUUUUUAUUUUCAUUAUUUUGUAUAUGUAGAAUGCAAGAUGAGAUAUUUAAUUUAAUUGAAAUCCAAUUCAUACUUAUUUUGAUUAUGUUGAUGGUUUGUUUAUACUGUGAGUAUUUAUUUUGAAUAUUUUGUAUAUGUAGAAUAUAUUUAAUUUAAUUGAAAUUCAAUUCAUAUU
rnacentral:lncRNA from 1 species